UGUGGCCACAGGAGAAAACGAGAGGGAGAGACCCACCAGACCUAUGCAAUAUAUAAGAAGGCAGUGCUCUCGAUUUCAGAAAUUUCUCCUCCUGCAAUCCUCUUACCAAGAUAAUCUGCUUCUUGUUCGGAUAGACCCGCCAUUUGGAAAGCAAGGAGAAGACAGAAAAUGUCUCUGUCCACGGAUUUUGCUUCCCUGGCGAUCUUCACAGAGGAGUGUUAUCUCCACAAUGCCACAAUGGACAUGGAGAGGAAGAGGAGCGAUGAUGAUGAGGAAGAGCAAGGAUGUGACGAGAAUGCAAGAACAGAGGAGAGGGAUGAAGCGACAGGGCAUUGCAUUGCAUUGGAGUUUGAUGGGUUGCACUGCUUUGAGACAAUCGUGUCACAUUGAUUUGUCUUUGUAAUUAUUCAUUCUUUUUUGUUUUCGUUUUUUCGUUUCUGCUUCUUUUUGUGAUAUUCUUUUUCCUUUUAUAGGGGGGGCAAUUCCUUUUAGAUCUUGUUACAUUGUAAGGGAAUGAAGGACGCAAUUUUGAGGGUCCAA